GAAAAACGGCUGUGUUUACGGUGGUUACCAUGAGAACGACUUCCCAGAAACCUUUGCCGCAUUCCAUCAUUCCAACAUCAUCAGAUGAGCUGUUGGUGGUGAGGCAUCUUCAAAAAGAAAAAAAAAAAAACAGAUUAAAUGAAAUUCCUCUGUGCUUUUGAGAGCCUUUUCCAAUAAAUACAAAAACACCUUAAACUCCCUUAAUUUUCAGCUAAAUAAACAUCUCCAAAAGCA